GAUUCAAUCAAUCUUUAAGGACAAAUGUACGUUUUAGCUCAUGGAAGAAAAAACACAGAUCAAGACAUUUUUGGGUUCAAAGUUGCCGAAGUAUGGAACAAAAUCUGUAAGAAGUACGCUGCAACCAAUGCCAAAUACGGCAUUCACUAAUGUAGUAGGAGUUUCCAAGAGGAGCAAUGUAAAAAAUAAUGCCUCAAAAAGUUCAUUAUUCCAUUCAUUUAAUUGGGGAGAAGCAAGUAAAUACCAACUUCAAGAACAAAGUGCUGGAAAGCUUAACAACACUCACAAUUUCCAUGAUAAAUUAAUUGAUACUGAAAAAGAUGAUGAUCCUACCAAAGGAAUGUUUGAUACAAGUAGAAUAAAAGGAGAUUUAAAAAGUGUUUCUGAACUCAUGUCAAAAAUAACAAAGCCAUCAACUAUGUUUGUGUCAUCUACAGGGGAGUUAAGCCAGAAGUCUUUAUCUAGACCAUCAAAUUUGGGUAAAUUCACCAAAACUACAUUAUUAGGAAGGACUUCAUACUCUUCAGUCAGUGCUCCAAAAUCUCAUUUGAAUGGAUUUUAUGGAAAUCGAUCAGCUGGUAAUAUGCAAAGGCCUCGAGCAAACUCCUGUGCUACCAGAAGUAGUUCUGGAGAAAGCUUAGCACAAUCCUCAGAAAAUAGUAAAUCUAUUACUUGUGAAAAAAUGGUAAGGUCACAAAGUUUUUCACAUUCCACUCAGAAUUCAUUUCUUCCACCUUCAUCUAUAACUAGAUCCCAUUCCUUCAAUAGAGCGGUAGAUCUUACUAAGCCCUAUCAGAAACAACAGCUCCACAUUAGAGUGCCUCUAAGGUCAAGUAUACUAGCAAGAAAUUCCCAACAGGCAGAAGUAUUCAAUGGAAAUGAACAUUUAGGGUAUGGCUUUAGUAGGCCUUAUCCUGCUGGUGGUAAGAAGUUGACUUUACAGAAUGGUCCCAGUGUAACUUCUACUUUGGGAUAUAGGAUGGUUCAUCCUUCUUUACUGAAAUUGAGUACACCUUCAUUUGAUGCAAGUACCACAGUUGAUGGUAAUAAAAAUGCACCUGUUGACAAAUGUAUAGAGGAACAUGCUACAGUUUUGGUUCAUGAUCGAACUACUGAAAAGGACCAAGAACUAAUUGAAAAUGAUGGUUUUAGAACAGAAAAUGACCAGAGUAUAAAGAACAGUGCUAAAAUUCGAUAUCUAAGUGAUGAUGUGGAUGAUAUUUCUUUGUCUUCUUUAUCAUCUUCUGAUAAGAAUGAUUUAAGUGAAGACUUUAGUGAUGAUUUUAUAGAUAUUGAAGACUCUAAUAGAACUCAGAUAACUCCAGAGGAAAUAUCUCUCAAAGAAGGAAAGCAUGACAAUGAACCAGAGGAUAUAUUUCAUUCUUUCAAGGAAAAUGAAAAAUCCUUCAUUAAAACUGAUGAAUGGAUAGAUAUAAGUGUAUCUGACAGGAGUGAAUGUACCAAACAUGCUUCUGAGAAUAACUUGAUUUCACCAGAUACUGAUUACAGAGCUGGUUCUUCCUUUGAACUCUCUCCAUCUGAUAGCUCUGAUGGAACAUACUUGUGGGAUGAAGAAGGCUUGGAGCCAAUUGGAAAUGUGCAUCCAGUUGGGAGCUAUGAGUCCUCUGAGAUGAACAGCAUAGAUAUUCUGAAUAAUCUUGAAUCAUGUGACCUUGAAGAUGAUGACCUUAUGCUUGAUGUGGAUCUACCCGAGGACACUCCUAUUGAAAAUGUGGAGUGUGACAGCAUGAACCGCUUUGACCGGACAGACAGGCAUGUUCGGCAGUCUCAGGAAGGAUUUUGGAAAAGGCCACCCCAGAGGUGGGGUGGACUGGAGCACUACCACCUCAGCCAUGCUGACCGUUAUCACCACCAGGGAAAAAGUGACGUGAGCCGAGGCUCUCCUUAUAGAGAAUCUCCUUUGGGUAAUUUUGAAAGCUAUGGAGGGACUCCCUUUUUCCAGGCCCAGAAGAUGUUUUUGGAUGUACCAGAAAAUACUGUGGUACUGGAUGAAAUGACUCUCCGGCACAUGGUUCAAGAUUGUACUGCUGUAAAAACUCAAUUAUUGAAACUGAAACGUCUGCUGCAUCAGCAUGAUGGAAGUGGUUCAAUGCAUGAUAUCCAACUAUCAUUGUUGUCUAGUCCCGAACCAGAAGAUAAUGAUCACACAUACAAGAAUGAAGUUUUAAUAAAUGAAAUAAAGCAACUUAAAGAGGAAAUAAAGAAAAAAGAUGAAAAAAUUCUACUAUUAGAGCAUCAACUUGCAACACGGUGUAACUGCCAUCAAAAAUCUAAAGAGGAAAAACGCACAUAUGCUGAUAAAUUUACCCAAACACUCUGGAGAAGAAUUUCUCCUCAAGUACUACAGUCUUCCCGCAGCCUCCCCAGACCCACAGACCACGCCCAGGGAAAAUUAAUAAAGCCACAGCAUGCUGACACCCUCAGUGACUGGGCUCCGCAGGGCAUGCUGAGAGUGGACAGAAGGCUCACCCAGGGCUUGCAGCAAGAAAGCAAGUAUUGUCCAGAUGGCCUGCCUAUUUCUUCAAGCCCUCAGUUUACUGAGGAUGUAUCUAGUAGUACACAUUCAGAAGCAGACCUAAGCAUAACCGUGAAUACUCCAGAGCCUUAUCAUUUGGCAGAUAACAACAUGAGUAACAUGCAGUUUGUACCCAACUCUCUUCAAACACUUCCUCAAUCAAGUUCAACUGACCAGGCUGUGGGAGCUCUAAGAAGGCAGUCUUCACCUGCGGGCUAUAUAUCACAGUCCAAAGCUUUGCAGCUUCAAAAGCCAUCCAUCUUGAAUUCUCCUCCAGUGACGAAUCCAGUCCCUCAGUCAUCUCCAAGUAAGACUGUCACUUGUAAAAAGUCCCUGGUAAUCACACCACGUAAUUCAUCAAAACUUCAAUCAGCCUCUAGUCAGACAAGUCUUACUAAUGAUUCUAAUCUGAAAGUGUCUAAACUCCAACCCCCUUCCAGCACUUUCAUACAGAAAAUCAGCAACACCCGACUAGAAUCUCAAAAUCUUCAGGCCAAGACUAGCAUCCCACGACCUCUAACACGAAGGAAGGAAAGUGUGCAGAUGCCGAAUGGCAGUUUUCAUGCUGGGGAUUGUUUGGCUGCUAAUUAAUAUUCUUAUCUUUCUAAACCAAAGAUACAUUAA